AUGGACUAGGUUCAUUCUUUUGAUUAAAUACAUCUCAACCCUUAGAUCAAAUGUGUAAAAAUAAAUCCUAACCAUCCAUUCUCUUAUAAAUAGAGCCUAUAGCUAAAUUCACUUUCACUUGAGUUUUUACAAUCUUAGAACAAGUAAAAUUGUUUGCUCCUCCUUUCAUUUUAUUUCUUAGUUCUACUCAAAUACCAUAUAGCCUAGAUCUUUCUUGUAGUGUUCAAGCGUUUUUCUAAAACUAGCUACCUAGAGAAGAUUUGGUGGAGUUUUACUUCUAAAGGAUUAUUGGAAGUGGAGCAGAAUACUACACUAAGGAGAGUAAGUAUGGAUAUACUUACUGAGUACUAGCUUUGUUUUAUUGUUAUAGGAAUUCUUAUUUUGUCUUAUUGAUAUAAUUUUGCAAUACAACUGCUGCAUAAUGUGUCUAAUAAAAUGGGCUGAUAAGAUAGCCACCUUAAGAACAAGCUGGGUGGAUUGCCGCGAGGAACUGUCGGUAUCUCAGUGGAUGGGGGUAUAUAACCGUCCAACAGGCCUAAUAUAUAACUAAGCUGGGGCGGUGUAGUUGCCAGCACCAAACAGGUAAACCUCUAAAGUGUGAGGGACAUAACGGACGUAAGCGGGCUGAGAGCUCAUGAGAAGAGGUCUGAAGAAAGAUUAUCAUAAAACACAAACUAAUCUGUCAUUACGCUGCAUUCACAACUCAUUCAUUAUUAUAUAUUUUAGUCUUUAAUCUUAUUUGUUCAAACUAGUCUUUUUAGUCUUUAUAUCUAGGAAAAUAGAUUACUCACUUGUUUGCCUAUGUAAAUAUGAUAACGUCAUCUUUACAUAGAUCUUGAUGCAGGGAUAGAAAGUGAGGACGAUGGUCCUUUUACUAGUUUUGAUGGUUGAUAGACCAUCUGCUGCAGGAUUUAUGCUUACUCUAUGGAGCAAGUCUCAUUUAUGUUAAUCGCUUUUAUUAUGUAUGGUGAUGUGUGUAAACUUAAUAGAUAUUACUAUGUUAAUUUAGGUGCCGUCUGUGGCAUAUAUUUGGUACACCUAGUGUGUACAUAUGUUGUAAUGAAAACCAUGUUUCUAUUUUAUUUAAUAAUAUAUCACCUCGAGGUAUUUCAGUCA